CAGCCGCCGCGGGAAUACGAAGGGUGCAAGCGUUACUCGGAAUUACUGGGCGUAAAGCGUGCGUAGGUGGUUGUUUAAGUCUGCUGUGAAAGCCCUGGGCUCAACCUGGGAAUUGCAGUGGAUACUGGGCGACUAGAGUAAGGUAGAGGAUAGUGGAAUUUCCGGUGUAGCAGUGAAAUGCGCAGAGAUCGGAAGGAACAUCUGUGGCGAAGGCGACUAUCUGGGCCAUUACUGACACUGAGGCACGAAAGCGUGGGGAGCAAACAGGAUUAGAUACCCCAGUAGUCCCUGUCUCUUAUAC
rnacentral:rRNA from 1 species